CGAUGAACCACUUCGGUGGGGAUUAGUGGCGAACGGGUGAGUAACACGUGGGCAAUCUGCCCUUCACUCUGGGACAAGCCCUGGAAACGGGGUCUAAUACCGGAUACCACUACCGCAGGCAUCUGUGGUGGUUGAAAGCUCCGGCGGUGAAGGAUGAGCCCGCGGCCUAUCAGCUUGUUGGUGAGGUAAUGGCUCACCAAGGCGACGACGGGUAGCCGGCCUGAGAGGGCGACCGGCCACACUGGGACUGAGACACGGCCCAGACUCCUACGGGAGGCAGCAGUGGGGAAUAUUGCACAAUGGGCGAAAGCCUGAUGCAGCGACGCCGCGUGAGGGAUGACGGCCUUCGGGUUGUAAACCUCUUUCAGCAGGGAAGAAGCGAAAGUGACGGUACCUGCAGAAGAAGCGCCGGCUAACUACGUGCCAGCAGCCGCGGUAAUACGUAGGGCGCAAGCGUUGUCCGGAAUUAUUGGGCGUAAAGAGCUCGUAGGCGGCUUGUCACGUCGGGUGUGAAAGCCCGGGGCUUAACCCCGGGUCUGCAUUCGAUACGGGCUAGCUAGAGUGUGGUAGGGGAGAUCGGAAUUCCUGGUGUAGCGGUGAAAUGCGCAGAUAUCAGGAGGAACACCGGUGGCGAAGGCGGAUCUCUGGGCCAUUACUGACGCUGAGGAGCGAAAGCGUGGGGAGCGAACAGGAUUAGAUACACUGGUAGUCCACGCCGUAAACGGUGGGAACUAGGUGUUGGCGACAUUCCACGUCGUCGGUGCCGCAGCUAACGCAUUAAGUUCCCCGCCUGGGGAGUACGGCCGCAAGGCUAAAACUCAAAGGAAUU
rnacentral:rRNA from 1 species